UAUUAUAUCUAGUAUUUCUUUCUUGCAAGAAAUAACAAUGGAAUUUGAGAGAACCCUGACUUUUUCAGCUACCCCACCAUCCUUCAGAAAAAGCUUAUCUGGUAUGCAUUGAUUUCAUUGAUUUUUCUUCCUAUUUGUCUUUAUCCCAUCCAAAAUUUUCCUCUUAUUCUUUUAUCUUCUAUUGAUGUUAGUUGCAGAAUCAAAGUCUACUUCAAGGCUUGGGAGUCUAAAUUUCAGUUACUUCCAGUUUCAGACAUCUCAGACAGACGAGACUUCAGGCCUUGGCACACUUUCAGGAAGUCACCAACAGAUAUUGCCAAGAAAAGAAAUUUACAUUGUGCCGAAUGUUUAUCAUCAAUGUUGGCCCUGGUUUUAGGCUGUUGUGGAUGACAGUGAAGUCUUUUAUCGAUAGAAUAACCACUUCAAAGAUUCAUGUACUCUCAAUGAGGCUUUUCUUCUAUUUGUAUUUAAUUAAUUAAUGUUCCGUCUUCUAGAAAUACUAUGACAAUGUGUCUAGUAGUUGUUUUUGAUAUGCUUCUCUAAUUUGGAAGGGCAGGGUUCUCAGAGUUUGAUGAAUAUGUUCCCAUGGUAGACAAAGCUAUGGAUUCAACCAGGAAG